rnacentral:lncRNA from 1 species
AGAGUGGAUAUGAGUUAGGUGGGAUGGUGGCUGUGAAAUGCUAAGCCUGUGCCUGGCACAGCAAGCACUCACUUAGGGGUGGUGCUGGUAGUUGUUCCUAUUGUUAUUGAUGACAGGGGUCUCAGGUCCUUUGUAGCUACCAUGCCCUCUACCUGAAGCACCCUCCUUACCCCUUCCACCCAUCUAAUCCCAUUCAUACUUCAGGCCUCGGCCUAACCAAGCACCCACCAUGUGCUGGGUCCUAGGAACAUGGUGGGGAGCAGCACCUUCCCUCCCUCCCAGCUGCUCCUUACAAGGGCCAGCCUGGGAUAGAAUCAGAUGACUUGGGUUCUUGUUCUAUCAACUUCCUGGGUGCCUCACGCAAGUCAUUUCUCCGAGGCCUCAGAUUACCCAACAAGGGGUCUAAGAAGAGCCCCGCAACCUUUGCUCCCCACAGCCAGCAUGCAGACCAUGAUGUGCACACAACCUGGAGAUAGAACAAGUCUUCCUGGCAUCUCCUCUCUGCUAUACUCUCCCAAGGGAAUCAUCAGGAACAACCCAGCUUCAUUAACUUAUGGGGGCAUCUGCAUCAUUUCACUUGUGGGAAAUUCCUCACUACCUCUUCACCAAGUAAUGGAUUUCAUGGGAAGCUAUGACAGUGGCCACAUGUUUAUCAAGGGGCUCCCGGGACUGCAGGCCUCGGACUCCACGUCUAAACGGUGGCACUGCCCCAGGCCGGGCUAG